GCCGAUUGGCCGGUGUGAGGGCCAAUGGGAACGCGUGUUGUUGGGCGGUCGGGAGCGUGAGCGCGGCCCGGGCAGGAGUUGUGUGUGUGUGCGGGGGGGGAGCUCCGUCCGGCCGUGGCUGAGGGCGCCGCCGCCGCCAUGAGCUCCAUCGGUACCGGGUACGACCUGUCAGCUUCCACGUUUUCUCCAGAUGGCAGAGUAUUUCAAGUUGAAUAUGCUAUGAAAGCUGUGGAGAAUAGUAGUACAGCAAUUGGGAUAAGAUGCAAAGAUGGUGUUGUCUUUGGAGUAGAAAAACUAGUUCUGUCCAAGCUUUAUGAAGAGGGUUCCAAUAAACGUCUCUUUAAUGUUGAUCGACAUGUUGGAAUGGCAGUAGCAGGACUUCUGGCAGAUGCUCGUUCUUUGGCAGACAUAGCUAGAGAAGAGGCUUCUAACUUUAGAUCCAACUAUGGUUAUGAUAUUCCACUGAAGCAUCUUGCGGACAGAGUGGCUAUGUAUGUGCAUGCAUACACACUAUACAGUGCUGUCAGACCUUUUGGUUGCAGUUUCAUGUUGGGGUCCUAUGAUGACGAUGAUGGUGCACAACUGUACAUGAUUGAUCCAUCAGGAGUUUCAUACGGUUAUUGGGGGUGUGCCAUUGGUAAAGCCAGGCAGGCUGCAAAAACAGAGAUAGAAAAACUUCAGAUGAAGGAAAUGACCUGCCGUGAUGUUGUUAAAGAGGUUGCGAAAAUAAUCUACAUAGUUCAUGAUGAAGUAAAGGAUAAAGCUUUUGAGCUGGAACUCAGCUGGGUUGGAGAAAUAACCAAUGGAAAACAUGAAAUUGUUCCCAAAGACAUCAGGGAAGAAGCAGAAAAAUAUGCCAAGGAAUCUUUGAAAGAGGAAGAUGAAUCAGACGAUGACAAUAUGUAACACAUUGUUACUUCAAGACAAGUUCAACUUUUCUUAACUUAGAACAGCUUUUAUUUCAAAAGAGUAUAGGCCAGCAUCAUUAAGAAGCAACUGUACUCUGUAUCAAAACAGACAUUAAGAAGGAAAGAUAUUAUCAGGCUGGUGUUGCUGCUUCUUACUACAGCACUCCAUCUGACCCAGGCCAGGAGUUGAGAACAAGCUUUCCUGCUUUCUUUCCCCACUUCCUAGGAAAAAAGACUGUCUAUUCUAGUCACUUCAAAGUCUUGAAAGACAAGAGUUCUGGAUGUCACACAACACAGCUCAUUUCAGUGGUUCUGUUUACAGCUGUAGUGGUGUAACUAAUGGGGUGACAGACUACACAAACGCGCUGCAGGGGAAAGCAUAUCCCUGAAGGUACACACCUCCUGCUAACAGUAGUCUUGCAAUUAAUUCACAGGUUAAGUGUGCAUUACAUAGUGUUGAUUGGUCAGCUAACUCCCCGGCCACCUGGAAAUCAGCUACCUGUAAUAAUAUCCUCCAAACAAUAUACACAAAUAAAAAGUGUAUUUUGAAAAAGGCAGCUAAGUAGGAAAAAAUUCAGCAUUUAAUCACCGGCCAAACUGUAGAUUCUCACUAACAGCAGCUACUUAUAGCUAAAAACAUUUAAUUCAAAAGAUUGAGGGCAAUAAUACUUUUAAAAAAGAAUCGAUACUGACCAACUGCAGUCUUGCUAGCUGAGGCUGAAAAGUAAGUGAUUGAAGUAAUCUGGACAAGCAAAAGCCCUAGAAGAAAGGCCAUGUAACCACUGCCUUCACAAGCUUUCUUUUGCUGAGCAACCAUGCUUUGCAGAAGCAGUGCUUGCUGCUUUGUGCUAGCCUGCAUGCUGUUGGUAUAGUCCCAAUGCAGUUGGAUCAUGUUGCUCUACCACCUGCAUCUGUAACAAGCCAUCAUUGUAAUCAACAGCUUAUCAGUGCUGACAAGCUGGAGUGACACCUAUGCUGGCAGAUGGACCAUGUCCAAGGAUUCACCAUCAGUAUCAGAACCCUAUUUUUUAUCUCUACAGGUAUGGAAAGAUAUAUUUUAGUAAAAAUCCAAACUAAGCAAGCCACUUACCAGCGUCUGAAAAAGCUUGUGUAUGUGAGGACAUAGCUCUUAACAGUGUUAUUUCCUUCUUGUACUUUUUAACGUGGCUACUUCUGCAGCAUGGAGUCUUAUCUGGGCCGGCUGGGGGGGGGGAAGCCUUCCGAAGAUACAAACUAGCAACAGGUAGCAUAAGCAAGGAAGAUUUUUACUUUAGGUUGGCCAUGACAGAUCACUCAAAACUACUGAAAAAAGAAGAAAACCCUGAAUCUACUAACACAGGUAUUGAGAAAUUAAUCCACAGUUAGUUCUCUUUGCCGAAGUGAAACAACAGCCUAUUUCAGCUCUCCAACGUCAGCAGCAAUCAACAGCUUAGAUACGGAUAGCAUCAGACACCUAUUCAGUAUACAUUUACUCCCAGUCUGGUAUCACAAAAGGCUGAAAAAGUAACCACACUGUUGCUCCAAAGUAGCAUCAGAAGUUAAAUAUUUAAGGAGGAAUACCUUCUAUUUCAGAAGCUUAACUUACUCAGAAGAACGCAGUAAGGUUCUUCAAAUACAACCUCACUUAAAAGUUAAAACUUUAAAGAGUUUUUCUCCUGUUAGUUUUCAUGGCAAUGAAAUAUGUCAUUGCCACUCCCAAAACCACACGGUUUUUGCAUUCAAGUUGUACCCUGUAUGUUUGAUUUAGAUGGGAGGUUACUCAAGCAGUAGUAUUUAUAAACAAGAUUUGACUCUGUUAAGAAGAAUACAGACUAUUUAGAGAUACAGAUGCAAGUUUCAAAGUUUUCAACUUACGUUUAUUUCAGGAACACUAAAACUGUUAUUUUCUCUGUAGACUGGUGACUGACUAUAUUUACACAGAAAACCACUCCCCCAAUCCUGUAGAAAAAAAACAUCUCUUCUCACCUUGAAAGAUCAAAACUUCCACAGAUAAAAUGUUUACAUCACUAAUAAUGUCUACAGCUCGGAAGCCGGGAAAAAAGCUGCGUGCUGUGGAGAUAAUUUGAAAGCCAGUUAAAAAGUACACAGAGUUUUAAAAAUUAAAUUUUACAAUACUGGAAUGGCCAAUGCACUAACGUAGCCCGUAUGUGUACAUGCAUAGGAUACAUUUCUAGUACUAACUAGUGUCUUGUGCCUGUCACAAAACAAGUUAUUCAUAAAGCCGGAAACAGAAGGUUUGAUUACUAACGACAGGUAGAUCUAAUCCUUCGCCUUUACUGCUGGCAUUCAGAGACAAACUGUUACUUUGAAAAAUAUGUAAGGGUGCUUUCCUACCCAGAACAGUAAUGAAACUCUCAUUUGUCGUCAAGCAUCUGCUUCAAGUUUUGAAAGACAGACUGAUCACUUGGUUGUAGAUGAUGACAACCAAAGUCCUUUGCCACACCCAAAUUAAAGCUGCUGUACAAAUCUUCAGCUUCUCCUGUAGUACUGUGCGCUAUUGUUUUGCAACACUGCACGACUUCCCCAAUGUAGUUGUAAUAGCCUCGCUAUUGUCACCAAUGUGAACUUGCAGUCCUUAGAAAUAAUACAAGAAAUUAAGUGGAUUUGUAAUCAAAUUCCGUAUCUUGCAUCCCUUUGCUAGGCAGCAGAAGAGAAAUUAAACACCUAUAUUCAGAUAAUUUAACAGCACAUGACAAAACAUGCAAAAACUGGCUUUAGACUCCAAUCUUAAGUAAACCCUGGCAACGGGCACCCUUCCUCCAUAGUUGCUAAAUUAGCUAACAUUAAUAUUUGAUACAAAUAUGUUAGCGAUCAUAAUAGAAAAUUAUAUACCAGAAAGAAUAAAAAUAGUCUCUUACAUUACAGCUCUUACUCUAUCCAAACACAAGAUUACCAAAUCAGUCUUAAAAAAAAAGGAACAUUUUACGUUUGAAAUUAAAAGAUUGCACGAUACAUGCCAAAACACCCCCACACAGCUAACAGGCUAGGAUGAAAGCAGCAGUUUUAUCAGUUGAGAACUAAAACCUCUUCUCUUGGUGCUAGGCUGCUAAUAACACAGAUCAGGUAAUGCAUCACUGCACACAUUUUGUAACACAUGGGACCGUAGUUAAGAUCUGCAGCCACAAAGCACAACAAAGUCUGGACAUAGUUUAUUCAGUAAAAAUGGGACUACUUCUCCCUGGAGAUCUCUGAAGCUGCUAACAAGAGCUACUCUGACAAGUGGAGCACAUCAUUUCACUAGUGUUACUGGAAAAAGCAACUACAAAGUGAAUAUUAUUGUUAGCUGCAGAGCUGACAGGAAACCCAAUCUGAGAUUUUUUCCUCACACAAAUAUUUAUAACAGAGUACUCUAUGUUGUAAAUAUUUUCAUUUUCAUUAUUCAUAUCCAGAAGAGAUACUGCACUGCUGCAAAACAUACCCGUACCAGAUUCAAGAAACCACUGCUAAACUCUGCAGUGGAUAUAAUGAACUAAUUCAGGCUUCCCAAGGGUUGCUAAACUUUGUGUCUUCUCCAGCAGCAACACUGACAAGGAAAUGAUGAAAAACAGCAUGCACAGUUAUGUUUGAAUAACUAAAUAUCCAUUUUUCUGAAAAUGGGGACAGGAAUAUGCCAGAGCUGGGGAAACUGUAGGUAAGCAUUUAGCAUUAACAGGUGUUCUUGUUUGGGUUUUUUUUGUUCUCUCUCUCACACACACACGACAAUAAAUACGAAGGAACUUAUUGCUGAUAGUUGACAGUAAAGCACAAUUUUCUCCAUGACUAGGAAAGAAGGUUUGACCUUUCAUUUUUACAAUCCAGCUAUUACUGACUGAACUUAUCUCUUGUCAACUUCACAUUUGUCAGGGUUUUUUUUCCUUCAUACCUACACACUAUUUCACAACUUCCUACCACACUCUUGUCUGAGCAGUUUGCAAUCACUUCGAUAAUAAAGCUUUGUGGGAAGCAUGCACAUGACCUUUAUUUGAGCAGAAAUACAGCAGUUCCACACAGACAGAGGUUCUGAACUGCAAGGCAGAUGCUUGCUCAACCACCACUGGAAAAGUGUUGCCUAUUUAGUUACAGAAUAGAAACACCAAGGGGAAGAGCAUUUAAAAAAAAGGAGAACUAAACACUUGAAACAAAAAUAAAAGCAGCUAAAAGUCUCCUGAACAUCUGCAAAGUCUGACAGAGUAGCAUAGUACGUCAUUACAUACAAAGAAACUCAGUGGAACAUGAAUCAAUAUUUUUACUAUUUCUAGAAUAUUUUGGCUGUGAUUGUAUGUGUAUUCUGAGUUCUUUUAUCUACGUGUAAAUGCAGCAUGUCAAGAGCAACAUGUGACUACUGAACAGAACUAAAACAUCUUACUUAUCCCAGAAA